GAUGAACGCUAGCGGCAGGCUUAACACAUGCAAGUCAAGGGGUAUUGGUUUUCGGACCAAGAGACCGGCGCACGGGUGCGUAACGCGUAUGCAAUCUACCUUUUGCAGAGGGAUAGCCCCAGAGAAAUUUGGAUUAAUACCUCAUAGUAUAGUACUUUGGCAUCAAGGAACUAUUAAAGUCACAACGGCAAAGAUGAGCAUGCGUCCCAUUAGCUAGUUGGUAAGGUAACGGCUUACCAAGACGAUGAUGGGUAGGGGUCCUGAGAGGGAGAUCCCCCACACUGGUACUGAGACACGGACCAGACUCCUACGGGAGGCAGCAGUGAGGAAUAUUGGGACAAUGGGCGCAAGCCUGAUCCAGCAAUGCCGCGUGCAGGAUGAAGGCCUUCGGUUGUAACUAGCUUUGUACGGUAACGAAACGGUGAGCUCUAAUACAGUUGCUAAUAGACGGUACCGUAAGAAUAAGACACCGGCUAACUACGU
rnacentral:rRNA from 1 species